UCAUAAUCACUCAACUGAAUAAAAUCAGGUUAUUGUAAUUGCUAUACUUUUCUGUGACUGUUAGUUGCACAUGUAGGCUAAUUAGACAAUUAAUCAGCUAUAUGUCAAUACUUACAGUUAUAUCUCUCUCUUUUUCUCUCUUACAGUUACUUUGCAAAAGUUUCUCAAACAUGGAGUCUGACAUGAACGGGGUCAGAUUUUUUUUAUUUUAUUAUUACAAAAAGAGAGUGGUUAGUACUUCAAGGUUGUAAGAGUUUGCACUUGAAUACAGUGUCAUAUGCAUUGUUGUAACUCCAGCUGUGUGUGAUCUUUGUAGAGGUGGAGUGGGCUAAGCGCAGCACAACAAACCAAACACCAAAGCAACCCUGUGUUUUCCAUAUUAUUUUAUAUAAUUAUGCACACAGUUUUAUUUUUCUUGGUGCAGAUAUUGCUGUGUAGCAUAAUACAGCAUUACUUUUAUUUUCAGAUUGAUUGGCUGAGCCUCAUGGGAGGCAACACACCUGGAGAGUCGGUCAGAAGACUGCUUGGGAAACUCUGGACAAAUGCUCUUUGGGCCCAAUAUAGUCUUAAAGGCCGCAAGGGAAAGAAGAAUUUCCAGGAACUGGAAAUAUAUGCCUGUCGUCGAACACACACCAAGGUGCUGGAAAAAGUAAUUGAGGACUUCAUUUCAGAAACACUGAAGUUUGCACCACACAGAGAUAAGAUGCUACAAUCUCAGGCCGAAGCAGAGACUUAACACUUAAUUCGUUGUUUUACACACAGAACGUAUUUUAUGUAAGAUUUGGAAUGUUUCAGUUUGUGGAAUGUUUGAGUAUAUAAAAUGUGAAAGUUAAGAUAUCAGUAAUGCCAUUUUUUUUUCAUUUAAAUGUACUGUACGUUACAGUAUACUUAAAGUAUCCUUGGCAAAAUGUAGACAAAUACAAUAUGAAUGAAUAUAUUAAAAUAUGAAAAAUGUUUGUGUAGUGUCUUUAAGUUUUUGGUGUAGACAAAUAUAAUUAAAAUAUUUUACCAAAUGUUUGAAUUUAUAUUUGUUUAUAAAAAAAGUUCCCAGGAUAAUGUUUGGAGGAUAUUUGGAUAUUUUAUAUGACGUUUAAACAUUAAGCAUUUUUCCCCCCUAUCAUUUUCCUAACAAGAUGAAAAAUCUGGACAUUUGGAAUGUUUAAAAUCAUUUAGAAAUAAUGUUUUCAUAAUGUUUUCAAGAUGAUAGAAUGUAAUGUUUCUAUAACGUUCACACAUACCAAGAAAGAGCGUUACUAAUACAUAAAAAAAAGCACAUUUCAAACAUUUAACGAACAUUCCCUAAUAACAUGUUCAUUACGUUUUCAAGAUGAUAGAAUGGAAUGUUUCUCUAACGUUCACAUAAACCUACAAAAAACGUUCCUAAUACAUUACAAAAAUGCACAUUUCAAACAUUUAACGAACAUUCCCUAAUAACAUUUUCAUAACGUUUUCAAGAUGAUAGAAUGGAAUGUUUCUAUAAAGUUCACAUAAACCUAGAAAAACAUUCUAAAACAUUCCUAAAA